rnacentral:tRNA from 1 species
UCCAAUGUGGUGUAGUGGUUAACAUUGCUGUCUUUCAUUAAAUAUCACAGCAGCCCGGGGUUCGAUUCCCCGCAUUGGAA